rnacentral:tRNA from 1 species
CUAGACAGGCGGGCCUUGAUCCCGCAACAAUUUAAUUAACAGCUAAACACCCUAACCAGCGGGCUUCCAUCUA